GCUCCUGUGGCGGAACGGUAUACGCACUAGGUCGAGAACUUAGAGUUUAUGGGUUCAAAUCCCAUCAGGAGUACCA
rnacentral:tRNA from 1 species